rnacentral:lncRNA from 1 species
GAGGAUCAAAAAUUCCAAAAAGUUGUGCCAAAUACGGCUAAGGUAAUCUACUCCUGGGGUAAGAAAAUCCUUAGUUUUUCGAAAAGUUCAAAGUUUUGUAAACAGAAAAUUUAUAAAAAUGACCAUAUAAUUGAUAUUCAUGUCAACACCGAAGUGCUGACUACUGGGCUGGUGAUACCCUCGGGGACGAAACGUCCACCAGCAGUGGCAUCGACCCAGUGGUGUUAAUAGUUAUCAAAAGUACCAGGAUUAUAAUUU